GAUGAACGCUGGCGGCGUGCCUAAUACAUGCAAGUAGAACGCUGAAGCUUGGUGCUUGCACCGAGCGGAUGAGUUGCGAACGGGUGAGUAACGCGUAGGUAACCUGCCUGGUAGCGGGGGAUAACUAUUGGAAACGAUAGCUAAUACCGCAUAACAGUAGAUAUUGCAUGAUAUCUGCUUGAAAGGUGCAAAUGCAUCACUACCAGAUGGACCUGCGUUGUAUUAGCUAGUUGGUGAGGUAACGGCUCACCAAGGCGACGAUACAUAGCCGACCUGAGAGGGUGAUCGGCCACACUGGGACGGAGACACGGCCCAGACUCCUACGGGAGGCAGCAGUAGGGAAUCUUCGGCAAUGGGGGGAACCCUGACCGAGCAACGCCGCGGGAGUGAAGAAGGUUUUCGGAUCGUAAAGCUCUGUUGUAAGAGAAGAACGAGUGUGAGAGUGGAAAGUUCACACUGUGACGGUAUCUUACCAGAAAGGGACGGCUAACUACGUG
rnacentral:rRNA from 1 species